rnacentral:rRNA from 2 species
GCGUGCUAUACAUGCAAGUCGAACGAACUCUGGUAUUGAUUGGUGCUUGCAUCAUGAUUUACAUUUGAGUGAGUGGCGAACUGGUGAGUAACACGUGGGAAACCUGCCCAGAAGCGGGGGAUAACACCUGGAAACAGAUGCUAAUACCGCAUAACAACUUGGACCGCAUGGUCCGAGUUUGAAAGAUGGCUUCGGCUAUCACUUUUGGAUGGUCCCGCGGCGUAUUAGCUAGAUGGUGGGGUAACGGCUCACCAUGGCAAUGAUACGUAGCCGACCUGAGAGGGUAAUCGGCCACAUUGGGACUGAGACACGGCCCAAACUCCUACGGGAGGCAGCAGUAGGGAAUCUUCCACAAUGGACGAAAGUCUGAUGGAGCAACGCCGCGUGAGUGAAGAAGGGUUUCGGCUCGUAAAACUCUGUUGUUAAAGAAGAACAUAUCUGAAAGUAACUGUUCAGGUAUUGACGGUAUUUAACCAGAAAGCCACGGGUAACUACUUGCC